GAGAUUUCCCAUUCGUCAGAAGUAAGACCCCUGAGAGACGAUCAGGUAGAUAGGCUAGAAGUGGAAGUGUAGUGAUGCAUGGAGCGGACUAGUACUAAUAGGUCGAGGACUUAACCAAG
rnacentral:rRNA from 1 species